ACUGGAGCCUAUUAUACAAAGUGAACUUUUCUAUGAUGACUCUGAAUAACAGGAGUUGGUGAUGUCCUUUGUCAAGAUUAUUCUGGCAGCCACCUGCAUGUUGGAUGGAGGGACUUUUUCAUCAUCCCAAACGGAAACUGUACCUAGUGGACAAAAACUCCCCAUUCCCUUUCUGCGCUGUGCUGUGCCAAAGUUGCUUCCGCCGCGUCUGACCCCAAGGACUGUGGCCCGCCAGGCUUUUCUGUAUUCUCCAGGCAAGAACACUGAAGUGGGUUGCGAUGCCCUCCUCCAGUGGGUCUUCCCAACCCAGGGAUCGAACCCAUGUCUCUUACAUCUCCUGCAUUGAAAUAUGGGUUCUUGACCACUACCACCAUCUCUAAGAAUUUACUCAAUCUAGGUAUCUCAUAUAAGUGGAAUCAGACAGUAUUUGUCCUUUCACUCCUGGCUUAUUUCACUUAGCAUACUGUGUGCAAGAUUCAUUCAUGUUGUAGCAUGUAUCAGAAUUUCAUUCCUUAUUAAGGCUGAAUACUAUUCCAUUGUUAGUAUAAAACAUAUUCUGCUUAUCCAUUCCUCUGUGACACAACUUGUGUUGUUUCCAGCUUUUGGCCAUGCUGUGAAUGUUGGUGUACAUGUAUGUGUUUCAGUCUCUGCUUUCACUUUUUUGAAGUAGAAUUGCUGUAUCAUAUAGUAAUUGUAAGUGUAAUUGUUAAAAGAACCACUAAACUGUUUGACACGAGUCUGUACUAUUUUACAUUCUCAUCAGCAAUGUAUAGGUUUCGAAUUACUUCACAUCCUCUCCAACACUUCUUAUUUCUGUUUCAUUUUGUUUUGUUUUUUAAUAAAAGCCAUCCUUUGAG